rnacentral:rRNA from 1 species
GACGAACGCUGGCGGCGUGCUUAACACAUGCAAGUCGAACGGAAAGGCCCUGCUUUUGUGGCGUGCUCGAGUGCCGAACGGGUGAGUAACACGCGAGUAAACCGCCCUUGACUUUGGGAUAACUUCAGGAAACUGGGGCGAAUAUCCGAUAGGAGCUACUGCUGCACGGUGGGGGUUGGUAAGUUUCGGCGGUUGGGGAUGGGCUCGCGGCUUCUCCGCUUCUUGGUGGGGUAGUGGCUUACCAAGGCUUUGACGGGUAGCCGGCAUGAGAGGGUGACCGGCCACAUUAGGACUGAGGUAGGGCCCAGACUCCUACGGGAGGCAGCAGUGGGGAAUAUUGCACAAUGGGCGGACGCGUGAUGCGACGGCGCCGCGUGCGGGAUGACGGCCUUCGGGGUGUAAACCGCUUUCGCCUGUGACGAAGCGUGAGUGACGGUAAUGGGUAAAGAAGCACCGGCUAACUACGUG